rnacentral:lncRNA from 1 species
GCAGUCCCUGGGCCCACGCUGGCAGCGGCUUCUCAACUAGUUCCUGUCUAGCCAGGCUGCUCAUUUCUUUAUAGUCACUGAACCAGAAUAACCACAGAUCAAGCCGGAAGCACAUGAUAACCCGCUGAACUCCGCACAGCCCUGGCUGGGCUUCUCUGAGUGAACAAACGCUGCCCUGGUCUCCGCAGCUGUGAAAUAUCCAGUGAGCAUCCAGCUGCGGGUUAGUUACUUCCACAGUCAGAGAAGGAAAGAAGAAAAUAAGAGUGACAGAUGCACAGAACCACGGACAUUCGAGACUGUCAUAGCUGUUCACAGUUGUUGAAGAUUUACAGGCAAGCCGUUUGGAGUUUAAAUGUGAGAUGACACCAGGGGCCUCUAAUGUACAGUGGAGCUUUAAGCAUGAUAUGGGGGCAGAAAAUGGUCUGGGAACCCCCUUCUCUGAGAUCUUAGAAGUUCUGUUCUAUUGACUCCAGGCAGGGCUGCAGCCACGGUGCACUUCAUGGACUCAUAAAUAUAACAUUAUUGGACAAAAAAACCCCAAUCCUUCUCUGACUGAUUAGGCCCAGAUUGGUCAGCCCAUAAAUCAAUGCUGAAUAAGAACUAUAAAGUUGUGAAUCAAUGUGUCCCAGAUCUCCAAACUGGAAUGAAAAAACAGGAAUAAAAUAGCUGGAGC